rnacentral:misc_RNA from 1 species
AUCUUUUAAUUACUUUUAUAGUAAAAUAUACAUUAAAUUUUAAGUGUGGGGGGUUUUAAAUACUUUUGCUCCUAUUAUAUAGGUAUGUACUGAUGAUCACCAAUCUGAGGUCUUCAAAUUGGUGACCUUAAGUACAAUAAUGAUCCUUCCGCAGGUUCACCUACGGAAA